AACGAACGCUGGCGGCAUGCCUAACACAUGCAAGUCGAACGAGACCUUCGGGAGAAGUGGCGCACGGGUGUGUAGCGCGUGGGAAGGUGGAGUUAGGUUCGGGAUAAUACUUUGAAAGGGGUGAUAAUACAGGGAAAUGUACUCGGAUAAAAGAUUUAUCGCACUUGGAUGGGCACGCGUUGGUUUAGCUAGUUGGUAGGGUAAAAGCCUAUGAAGGCGAAGCUCCAUAGCUGGUCUGAGAGGAUGAUCAGCCACACUGAGACUGGGACACGGCCCAGACUCCUACGGGAUGCAGCAGUGGGUAAUAUUGGACUAUGGGCUAAAGCCUGAACCAGCUAUGCCUCGUGAGUGAUUAAGGCCUUAGAGUUGUAAAGCUCUUUUACCCGGGGUGAUAAUGACGGUACCGGAAGAAUAAGCUCCGGCUAACUCCGUG
rnacentral:rRNA from 1 species